CCUACGGGAGGCAGCAGUGAGGAAUAUUGGUCAAUGGCCGCAGGGCUGAACCAGCCAAGUCGCGUGAGGGAUGACGGUCCUAUGGAUUGUAAACCUCUUUUGUCAGGGAGCAAAGGGCGCCACGUGUGGCGUUUUGCGAGUACCUGAAGAAAAAGCAUCGGCUAACUCCGUGCCAGCCGCCGCGGUAAUACGGAGGAUGCGAGCGUUAUCCGGAUUUAUUGGGUUUAGCGGGUGCGCAGGCGGAAUGUCAAGUCAGCGGUAAAAUUUCGGGGCUCAACCUCGCUCCGCCGUUGAAACUGGCGUUCUUGAGUGGGCGAGAAGUAUGCGGAAUGCGUGGUGUAGCGGUGAAAUGCAUAGAUAUCACGCAGAACUCCGAUUGCGAAGGCAGCAUACCGGCGCCCAACUGACGCUGAAGCACGAAAGCGUGGGUAUCGAACAGGAUUAGAUACCCGGGUAGUC
rnacentral:rRNA from 1 species